rnacentral:rRNA from 1 species
UACGUAGGGGGCAAGCGUUAUCCGGAUUUACUGGGUGUAAAGGGAGCGUAGACGGCAAUACAAGUCGGAAGUGAAAUACCCGGGCUCAACCUGGGAACUGCUUUGGAAACUGGCAGGCUGGAGUGCCGGAGAGGCAGGCGGAAUUCCUAGUGUAGCGGUGAAAUGCGUAGAUAUAAGGAAGAACACCAGUGGCGAAGGCGGAUUACUGGACGAUAACUGACGGUGAGGCGCGAAAGCGUGGGGAGCAAACAGG